GUYUUUUUGUUAAAAAUUUAAAGUCGGGCCUGCCCCCUGAAAUUUUAAAUGGCCGUGGUAUUUUGACCGUGCUAAGGUAGCAUAAUCAUUAGUUUUUUAAUUGAAAGCUGGAAUGAAGGGUUUGAUAAAAAAAUAACUGUCUCUAUUUAAUUUUAUUAAAAUUUUAUUUUUAAGUUCAAAAGCUUAAAUUAAAUUAAAAGACGAGAAGACCCUAUAGAGUUUAAUAAUAUAAAAUAAUUUUUAUUUUUGAAUUAAAUUAUUUAUUUUUUUAUAUUAUUUAGUUGGGGUGAUUAAAAAAUUUAAUUAACUUUUUUUAUAUUUUACCAUUAAUUUAUGAUUAUUUGAUCCAAUUUUUUGAUUAUAAGAUAAAAUUACCUUAGGGAUAACAGCGUAAUUUUUUUAGAAAGUUCAAAUUUAAAAAAAAGAUUGCGACCUCGAUGUUGGAUUAAAAUUAAAUUUUGGUGUAGAAGCUAAAAAUUUAAGUCUGUUCGACUUUUAAAAUUUUACA
rnacentral:rRNA from 1 species